rnacentral:rRNA from 1 species
UACGUAGGGUGCAAGCGUUGUCCGGAAUUAUUGGGCGUAAAGAGCUCGUAGGCGGUCUGUCGCGUCGGCUGUGAAAACCCGGGGCUUAACCCCGGGUCUGCAUUCGAUACGGGCAGACUAGAGUGUGGUAGGGGGAGAUCGGAAUUCCUGGUGUAGCGGUGAAAUGCGUAGAUAUCAGGAGGAACACCAAUGGCGAAGGCAGCUCGCUGGAACGGUACUGACGCUGAGGCGCGAAAGCGUGGGGAGCGAACAGG